UGCUGUAAGGCGCGCGUGAAACGCCUUUUGUGAGGAGCACAUUCGGUCUUCACUCAGAGGCGCUCACAGGUACAUCCACCGUGAAUUGAAAACAUCUCCUGUGAAAAAUAAGUACGAGAGAUCUGUGCGCGUGAGGUCAGUGUGAGGCGCCCUUUGUGAGGAAAAGAUUUAGUCUCGGUAGAAGAUUCCAGCUCCAUAGGUCAGUGCUGUUAGAAUAGACAACAUCAGAUCCGCUGCACAAGUGGCACAUGCGAGUCGUCGGAAGACCAAUUGCUGGAGGUAACGUGCCGGCGAAGACCUAUUGUCUAUUGAUCAGAGCAUCGUCGGGAAGACCUGAUAUUGGUGGUGUGGGUAUAGUAUAGAUGGAGGAUAUGGCCAUCUUGCACAUGGUGGAUUCGAGGUUGAAUGGGAAGAAUGAUUAGAGGUGGUGAUUGUGCUCAUGUUGGGUUGAUUGUCCUCACUGUGUCUCAUCUGCACCACGUUCAACCAUGAGACAGGUUGCCAGGUACUAUGCAGGAGAAAUCAGGAUGCCAGAAGAUUUGAGCGGGCUUGGAGAGUACGAAGCAGCGAAGAAUGAGGACUGAGGAGGGGUAGGUUUAUUAAUGAUUUUAUACAUUUCUAUUCGUUGUGGACUGAGAAGAUAGGUUUGCAUUCUUUCACGGGUGCUGGAGAUGGUGAAGCAGCAAACAGAGCUUACCAAGCCGUUGAGGAUGCAAAAACCAUGUCGUUCCAUCGAAGAAAUGGUGACUAGCGACGGGCUUGAACCAGAGGAUUGGCGCUAUUACGAACGUAGAUACCUUGCUCGACAGCUCGAGCAAUGGUGCGAACUGCGAAGUGCCUUACCACUCGUCGUGUAAGAGGUCACACGCGUGAAGAACUUCACAUGCUUAAUCUAGUUUUGUCCACAGAAGAUCCGGACUCCCAACGUCGCUUCAGCCUGCAUGUCCUUUUCUUUUACUUGGAACGUCAAGUCUUACAUGUAUAGUUGAGUGGAAUCACUGAGAUGGGUGGACGAAGGCCAUAAUUCAGAGAUGAUGGACAGUUCGGUUCCAGAGCAGCAACAACAAGAAGGGAGCCGGUUGAAAGAACGGAUUGUUUUUGGACUUCGCCGAAUCGCCAUAGGGUUGACGCCUCCUCCCCGAUAUGAAUCACGGGCUUGCUCUGUUACUUAUCUGCGCUCUCAUGCCCAUAUUAACGCUAUGAUUAGAUCUUUGAGGAAGGCUUUUGUACUGCAAUGCAGUGUUUUUUUGAACACCACUUACUCAAAUUAGCCCAAAGAAGACAUGGGAAGGAGCGACUGCAGGCUUUAAUGGCUGUAUAGCUAGUGCACUUCUGUUAUCAAAGAUGCUUUCCUGGCUAACAUCUUUAUUAAGGUGGCAUACUUGACAGAGUGGACAGCUACAUCUUCACUGGUGCACUUGCAUACUCCUCUGUCAAAACGUUACGGCAAGCCAACGUUUCUGGUUCUCAAUUGGGAAACUGUAUCGCAAUUGAGGUAAAAAAAUGCAGCAAGUUUCAGAAUGUGUGCUAGUGGGCGAGGAGAGCAUCAACAAGUGUACGUACAUCCUCUGAGAAGGAAGCUGAGAACCAGCUGAAGUGGUUCUCUGUAUAACCCUGUUGAAGAAAAUACUUGGUUUAUGUGUUUACUCAUUUUUCAUUAGUUCGAUGAUACUUGGAUUCGAUGUUCCUCUCAAUGUGAACCAGAACGAGGUCAAGAACUUGAGGCCUGUAUUGGGUUUCUACAAUGGGUCCACUUCAUAAUGUGAAAUUUCAUAUGGUUGCUUGCAGGGUCUAUUGCUGGAUC